GACGAAGGUGGCGAGCGUUGUUCGGAAUCACUGGGCUUAAAGCGCACGUAGGCGGUCCGUUAAGUGUCUUGUGAAAUCCCUCGGCUCAACCGAGGAAUGGCUCGGCAAACUGGCGGACUGGAGGCAGGUAAGGGUGAGUGGAACUCUUGGUGGAGCGGUGAAAUGCGUAGAUAUCAAGAGGAACGCCGGCGGUGAAGACGACUCACUAGGCCUGUCCUGACGCUGAGGUGCGAAAGCCAGGGGAG
rnacentral:rRNA from 1 species